rnacentral:rRNA from 1 species
GCUUUAUAAAUAAUUUAAAUUUGGUCAAUUUAAAUUAUAAAGGCUGAGUUUAAUUAUUUUAUUUUAUUGGGGCGAUACGAGUAUAAUUUUUAGUAACUGCUUUAAAACAAUUCUGUUAUAAUAGUGUCUAUUCGAUAAAUGAUCCUUUAUAAAGAUUAGAAGACUAAGUU